GACCCUUAAGCAAACGGCAGAACAAAAGAAGGGAGCAUAUAAAUGCCCACAUCCGUUUCAAGCUGCAUCGAUGACGAAGGUCUGCGGGUUUAAACUGCGCAACAAAACAAGAAAGUAAUAAGACGCAGCAAUGUUUUGAAGCGGUUUAUCAACGCCACUCCGUUUUUGGGCAUGCAAGAACUUGCUUUUAGAGGACACGGCGAGGGGGAAAGUUCCGCCAACAAGGGCAAUUACAAUCAGCCUGCAGAGCUAAGUCCCCUCAUGUUCCAUGAUUUAAGAGGUGAUGACCACUCCACUACCAUUGUCAACUUUCUCCUGACAUGAACUGAAGCCACGUCUCAUGUACCUUCUCAUCCACUGGCACAUUGAAUGUUUCCUCUCCAAGUACAUCAAAUCCUGUCCUGCACUGAAGUCAAGCCUCUGAACACCUUAACUCAUACCCUCCCUCAUGCAAUCACUGCUGUGAUCCUUUCCCCAUAAUAUUGUACUAUAAAUGUCUUUAUUAAAUGCUUUAGGUUAAACUUAUUUGACGACAUUUGAAAAGACACUUGUCUCCAUGCGCUCUGUGCCUAUACCGUGGUCUCCCAUACUCCUCAAUUUUUCAAGUCACCAGCCUCCACUGGAGUCUUCAGGUGCCUUUUGGCAAACUCCAAGCGGGCUGUCAUGUGCCUUUUACUGAGGAGUGGCUUCCAU